AUUGAACGCUGGCGGCAGGCUUAACACAUGCAAGUCGAGCGAGCGGCGGACGGGUGAGUAAUGUCUGGGAAACUGCCUUAUGGAGGGGGAUAACUACUGGAAAGGGUAGCUAAUACCGCAUACCAUCAGAUGUGCCCAUAUGGGAUUAGCUAGUAGGUGGGGUAAGGGCUCACCAAGGCAACGAUCCCUAGCUGGUCUGAGAGGACGACCAGCCACACUGGAACUGAGACACGGCCCAGACUCCUACGGGAGGCAGCAGUGGGGAAUUUUGCACAAUGGGCGCAAGCCUGAUGCAGCCAUCCCGCGUGUAUGAUGAAGGCCUUCGGGUUGUAAAGCACUUUCGGCGAGGAGGCGUUACUCGCAGAAGAAGCACCGGCUAACUCCGUGCCAGCAGCCGCGGUAAUAC
rnacentral:rRNA from 1 species